rnacentral:rRNA from 1 species
CUAGGAAUCUUGGGAAUGCGCGAAAGCGUGACCCAGCAACGCCGCGUGGGCGAUGAAGGCCUUCGGGUUGUAAAGCCCUUUGCGGGGGAAGAUGAUGACGGUACCCCGCGAAUAAGCCACGGCUAACUACGUGCCAGCAGCCGCGGUAAUACGUAGGUGGCAAGCGUUGUCCGGAUUUACUGGGCGUAAAGCGCGUGCAGGCGGUCCGUUAAGUGCAGGGUGAAAGCUCCCGGCUCAACUGGGAGAGGUCCUUGCAUACUGGCAGACUCGAGGGGGGUAGAGGAGAGUGGAAUUCCCGGUGUAGUGGUGAUAUGCGUAGAUAUCGGGGGGAACACCAGUGGCGAAGGCGGCUCUCUGGGCCCUACCUGACGCUGAGACGCGAAAGCGUGGGGAGCGAACCGGAUUAGAUACCCGGGUAGUCCACGCCGUAAACUAUGAACACUAGGUGUGGGGGGUAUCGGACCCCCUCCGUGCCGAAGCUAACGCAAUAAGUGUUCCGCCUGGGGAGUACGGCCGCAAGG